UACGAAGGGGGCUAGCGUUGUUCGGAAUUACUGGGCGUAAAGCGUAUGCAGGCGGAUCGUUAAGUCGGGGGUGAAAUCCCGAGGCUCAACCUCGGAACUGCCUUCGAUACUGGCGAUCUUCGAGUCCGGGAGAGGUGAGUGGAACUCCGAGUGUAGAGGUGAAACUCGUAGAUAUUCGGAAGAACACCAGUGGCGAAGGCGGCUCACUGGCCCGGUACUGACGCUGAGAUACGAAAGCGUGGGGAGCAAACAGG
rnacentral:rRNA from 1 species